UACAGAGACUGCAAGCGUUAUUCGGAUUCACUGGGCGUAAAGGGUGCGCAGGCGGCCGUGUGUGUGAGGCGUGAAAGCCCGGGGCUCAACCCCGGAAUUGCACCUCAAACUACAUGGCUAGAGCAUUGGAGAGGGUAGCGGAAUUCACGGUGUAGCAGUGAAAUGCGUAGAUAUCGUGAGGAACACCAGAGGCGAAGGCGGCUACCUGGACAAUUGCUGACGCUCAGGCACGAAAGCGUGGGGAGCAAAAGGG
rnacentral:rRNA from 1 species